GAUGAAGAACGUAGCGAAAUGCGAUACGUAAUGUGAAUUGCAGAAUUCAGUGAAUCAUCGAGUCUUUGAACGCACAUUGCGCCCCCUGGUAUUCCGGGGGGCAUGCCUGUCCGAGCGUCAUUGCUGCCCUCAAGCACGGCUUGUGUGUUGGGCCCCCGCCCCCCGGUUCCCGGGGGGCGGGCCCGAAAGGCAGCGGCGGCACCGCGUCCGGUCCUCGAGCGUAUGGGGCUUCGUCACCCGCUCCGUAGGCCCGGCCGGCGCCCGCCGGCGACCCCCCCCCAAUCUUUCCAGGUUGACCUCGGAUCAGGUAGGGAUACCCGCUGAACUUAAGCAUAUCAAUAAGCGGAGGA
rnacentral:misc_RNA from 1 species